GUAGGGAAUAUUGGGCAAUGGUCGGAAGACUGACCCAGCCAUGCCGCGUGCAGGAAGACGGCCCUCUGGGUUGUAAACUGCUUUUAUCUGGGAAGAAAAAGGCCAUGCGUGGCAAAUUGCUGGUACCAGAUGAAUAAGCACCGGCUAACUCCGUGCCAGCAGCCGCGGUAAUACGGAGGGUGCGAGCGUUGUCCGGAUUUAUUGGGUUUAAAGGGUGCGUAGGCUGCUGAUUAAGUCAGCGGUGAAAGACUUCGGCUUAACCGGAGCAGUGCCGUUGAUACUGGUUGGCUUGAGUGUCGGAGGGGUACAUGGAAUUGAUGGUGUAGCGGUGAAAUGCAUAGAUACCAUCAGGAACACCGAUAGCGAAGGCAUUGUACUGGCCGACAACUGACGCUGAUGCACGAAAGUGUGGGGAUCGAACAGGAUUAGAAACCCGGGUAGUCC
rnacentral:rRNA from 1 species